rnacentral:rRNA from 1 species
AUUGAACGCUGGCGGCAGGCCUAACACAUGCAAGUCGAGCGAGCGGCGGACGGGUGAGUAAUGUAUUUGGACUGCCCGAUAGAGGGGGAUAACUACUGGAAACGGUGGCUAAUACCGCAUACUAUCGGAUAACCCAUAUGGGAUUAGCUAGUAGGUGGGGUAAAGGCUCACCUAGGCGACGAUCUCUAGCUGGUCUGCGAGGAUGAUCAGCCACGCUGUGACUGAGGCACGGCCGAGACUCCUACGGAGGCAGCAGUGGGGAAUAUUGCACAAUGGGAGCAAGCCUGAUGCAGCCAUGCCGCGUGUAUGAAGAAGGCCUUAGAGUUGUAAAGUACUUUCAGCGGGGAGGCGUUACACGAAGGAGAAGCACCGGCUAAAUCCGUGCCAGCAGCCGCGGUAAUUC